UAAUGCAAUUAAUACAACAUUAAUGCACCAAAUCCCAUUAGAACUCCACAGUUAAGUGCAUUUUGGCUAGAGUAGUUUUGAUAUGAGUGACCUCCCAGGAAGUCCUAGUGUUUUAUAUG
rnacentral:rRNA from 1 species